UGGUUCUGGCAUCGAUGAAGAACGCAGCGAAAUGCGAUAAGUAAUGUGAAUUGCAGAAUUCAGUGAAUCAUCGAAUCUUUGAACGCACAUUGCACCCUCUGGUAUUCCGGGGGGUAUGCCUGUUCGAGCGUCAUUACAGCCCUCAAGCUCUGCUUGGUGUUGGGCACCGCCGGUCUCGGUGUGCCUUAAAAUUAGUGGCGGUGCCACCUGGCUUCAAGCGUAGUAAUACUUCUCGCUUCUGGAGCCUCGGUGUACUCCUGCCAUCAACUCCCAAUUUUAUCAAUGGUUGACCUCGGAUCAGGUAGGGAUACCCGCUGA
rnacentral:misc_RNA from 1 species